GUAGAACAACGCGGCCAUUGCCUUAUGCCGCGGCACGCUCUGCGAAAGUUAAACGGGAAACAGAUGCGCACUUGCCCCAGGCAAGAACCAUGCGCCCAAACUGUGCUGCCCCCGCAACGGUAAGCAUGUCAUCCAUGCCAGCCCGACACCGGCCUUGAUCACCCUUAGUCC
rnacentral:ncRNA from 2 species